GUUGUAGUUCAGUGGUAGAGCGCUUGCCUAGCAUGUGUGAGGCACUGGGUUCCAUCCUCAGCACAACA
rnacentral:tRNA from 1 species